AAUAACUUAAGCUUUAAAGAGCUAACAAGCUCAGCUUUUGAUUGCUCAGCUUCUGAAGAGUAUUUCACUGAGGCUUCAUCAAGGGCUGACCUGCAAAUGCAGCCUCUUUUGAUGCAAGAUUUUCUUUUUCUGAACUCAGCAGAGCAGAACAAAUUCCGGGCUCUUGGCAGGUAACUAUUUGUGUUAGAAGAUGAUUUUGGUGAAGGGGUUAUGGAUGGUAGUGAUGAUGAUGAUGAUGUAGAAUGAUGAUGGUACAAUAAUGGCUUAAUUGGAGGGUGAAAUAGAGAUGCCAUGGCAGUUUCUUGUGGCACUUUUGAUUGUUCGAACUGAGAAGGUGGCUGGAUUAUCUAGCCAGUGCAAGAAAUGAGUCUGGUAUGUUUUGAUUGGCU
rnacentral:lncRNA from 1 species